CAAUUAUCCCGCUUUACCCGCAGCCGCAGCCAUCCCGGACAACACUGAUAUUCCUCUCCUGCUUUUCACCCUCAGCUGAGGGCCUCAGGUGAUCCAAAGGAAUAUUUCAAUAUUCAGGUGAUCAAAAGGAAUAAUUCAACACUCGGUUUUGGAGCUAAUAAAGGAUUUGUCUCAGAGAGGCACAUUCUCAAUUCCUAAUUCCCACAGGUGAGGUGAAGUUGUUUCCUUCGUGUUUUCCUGGGUAAAGAUUCCGAUGGUGAAUUGUCACUGAGGUCUGACCAACUCUAAGCAGCUGUUUAAUAAAGGAAUGAGCACUUCAGGAAUUCCACUGGCACUGGGAAGUUCAUACCAAGGCCAUUUCAAGAAUGGAAGUGAGGAGAAAGGAGAAAAUAUUAUUUUAGGGAGCAAAAAGGUUGAAGCUGCUUCUCUUUUACAGGGGAGGCAAAUCAAUGUUUGCUGUUUUCCAGCAUACUCUGAUAUAAAUGUUUCUGCUUCAAAACACAAAGGAUUUCCUGUGAGCCAAGAAAAUGAAGUUUUGUCUCAUGUGUUUCACAUAAAAUAACAAAACGAAAAAUUAAUCCCACUUGGGCACCUCCUACAAUAUUCUGAAAUCGUUAUUGCUAAAUCUUUAAUUUCUUUGAGAACACAAAGCCUUUUGGGAGGAAACAAGCUGGAAAAGCAUUUUCAAGCAAUCCUAGAAGGAAAUGAUGGGGAAAGCUCAGUGAAAAACUAUGGGAGCUGCAUGGAUGGGACUUGGAUGGAGAGGACACCUUGAGAACGAGACAAGAACAUGGAAUGACUUCAUUUUAAAACCAAAAAUCAACACUUUUGGACAGGUUUUUGUGUGCAAUACCUUGGUACACAAAGUUCUCUUGUCCUUUCCUAGGAAUCAUUGUCUUGGUGCAGGAAUUUUCUGUUUGAAGAUGGAAAUAUUGGAGAAGCAAGAGGAACCUGGUGAAAUUGUCCGCUGGAGGGCACAGGGAUGGGAAGAGGGAAUGGAAAAAAAAUCCUGGAAGGGUGCAAAUUAAGCUACAGGGGGGAACUUUAAUUAAUCACAUGGUUUUGAAUAGCAGAUGCAGCCAAACAUAUUCCAAACCUUUUCUGUAGGAAAAGAGGGAUCAGCAGGAUAUCAACAGGAUAUCAACACCAAACCCAACUCAUGUUAAGAACAUUUCCUGAAUGUCACAGGACUUUCUUCACUCUGAACUGGUCAUGGAAACUUCCUGGAAAACCACUGGAAAGAACAACACCUCCAAAGGAUGCUUCUUUUUAGUGACAUUAGAUAUCUACUGGAAAUUUAGAAUAUCAAUCUUCUGGACACAUUUAUCUCUCCAUGGAAUAUCCAGGCAGGAUUUUGACCAUCCUUUGAUGGACCAGGUUUCCAAAAAAAAAAAAAAAUGAAAUAGAAGAAUUAUCAUUGCAGGUUUCUGGGUAAAGUUGCUAAAAUACUUUAUUUGCAAGCUCAGUAACACAGCAAGAAGUUCAAGGAGUUCUGCUCACUUGCCUUUCCCCCAAAACCAAAUUUUUUUCCCGAGAAACACAAAAUGAAUUUUUUUUUGUCGAUUUGAUUGACUCUACCAGCAAAUCUCUGGCCAAAAAUAGUCAUAAUCAAGUUUAAAAAAGUUUCAGUCUCUGUUUACUAAAAAAAAAAACCAACUUGUUUUAAAGUAAAUCAUCUGUGACAGUCACAUUUGGGCACGAAACACAAAUAAUUAAAUUUAUACUGACUACAGGAAGAGGAAAGUGAUAAAGGGAAAAUAGUCAGGGGAAAAUAAUUAGGGAAAAGUAGCCAUUGUAUAGGAAAAAGCCAUGAAGAAUGUCCCAAGACAUCAAGAAUGACCAAAAUUGAGCCCUGGGAACUCAAGUGGCAGCUAUUUUACAAGUUGCAGAAAUCCCUGAUUGAGCAUCUCCAGAUUGUGCUGAUCCUGGAGGGUCAGGAAAGAGUCUCAUAUGGGGACUUUCAGGUGUUACAUCCAGGAGUCUGGAAAAACAGGUUCACAGGUGGAGGAGUGGAGGAGGGAAGGUGACAAUCUUUGUUUGAGCCCCGUCCUUCUUAUUGAUUUAAGACACUGAAGGAGCGGAAGGAAAAGUUUGGAUGCCAAGAGGGCUGGGAUGAUUCUGUGGGAGGUUCAGCGGGUCAGAGGAGAGAAUUCCAUGUCACUUACCAGGAGGAGUGGAAGGAGGCCCAGGUCACUUCAGGGAAAAGUCUGGGAGCUGUGUUGUUGGAGACAGGGCAGAGGGAUGGCAAAGGUGGCGUCGAGUCACUUGGGCAGAGUGGAAACUGCAACAGCACCGUGGAAAAUCUAAUCUGGGCCAUCUGAGAAGGUAAUUUUUCAUCUUCAACUUCCCUUUUGCAUUGUCACCACUGGACUAGGACACAGCCCCAUAAAUAACCAUACAGGGCUGGAGCACCCUCGAGGUUUGGGGAUCCCUGACUGGCCAGAACGGUGUCAGUUUAACCCGAAUGGCACCAAAGAGCCAGCUGGGGAACACGACCUUUGAAUGGGACCUGGCAGAGCCAGGAGCACUAUCAGCGUUCCUGGAAAUCAGCUCUAAUUAAAUUGCAGCUCUAAUCUAAAAAACCACCAUUUUAUGGCUCCGGGGUCGGAACCUCCCGAUGGCUCCGCGGGAAAACGCGUUGGAGCUCUCACGUAGCCCAGACACAUCUGCUCCAGCUGAUUUAUUCUGGGAUUUUAGGGGUGAAUUCCAUCUCUAAAGAGCCUCUAAAGAAAUUGGGUUGGCAUUAAACUGGGUUUUCACCCAGUUCUCUCCAUCCAAGAGUCUAUUGAUGAGUCUUAGAUGUUUAUUCAAAGCCAAUCUUAGAUGUCUGUUCGAAGCCAAUCAUCUGCAAGUCUCCAGUCAGUGGAAAGAUUGGAAGGCUCAUCCCGUAUAUUUUAGGUUCAGAUUAGUACUUUUUAGCUUUUUCCACUGAUGCAGAGAGCUGUGUUGACUAGACAUCUAAAUUUUAAAGUAAGAAAUCAGGUGAAAUAAUAAAUCUAUUUUAGGGCGACGUGAACCCCUUUUCCUUCAGCACUGAAAAGCCUUCUGGGUCACGUUUUCAGGUACUCCUGCUCAAGGGCACUUUAUGUGUGAUGAAGACGAAUAAUCUUAAUGAAGAUGAAUAAUCUCAACGAAGAUAAAUAACCUGAUGUAAUUGCAAAGGAACUGAGGCUCCAGGAGCACUCAGAAAGCUCAUCAACAGCUCGCUGAGGAGUCAUGAGAAUUAAGGAAAAUUAAUUGCCAAGGCAAAAGGGAUCAGUGGCAUCUGCACACUCUUGUUCUGCAGAGGAUUCCUGGUUUUCCCUCGUGUGUGUGACGGACAAUCCUUGCAUUUGACAUCAGUCAUGUGGAGGCACGUUCAGGAAUUCUGCCCAAAUGAUUGCUGGGAGUUAAGAGAGGGAGAUUAUGGGAAGGGCAGCGUGAGUUUUGGGAAGUCAAAUCCUUUCUAGGCUGACCUGAAAGACCUGUUACCUUGGGCUGUGGCAGCAAACAAGAGGAAGCUCCCAGAAAGACCCGGAGAGAGUUUUGAGCUGUUCCAAAUUAAAAGGCCUAAAUGCAGCUGGAAAAGGAGGCUGGAAAGUCUUGAUUAACCUCUUCUGGGAAUAAACCCCACCCAGAGGGGAGCAGGAUGGAAAACACCAGCUGUGGCAGAUGUGGCUGAUGUGAGGGGAACCCAGAUUAGGUAAAGCCCUGCCUUAAUUUAAUUUAAUUAAAUUUAAUUUAAUUUAAUUUAAUUCUCGUCCACUACCAAGAGUAAGGUUGGUAACAUCAGCUCUCCCCUUUAAUUUUGGAGCUCUCUCUACACCCAGAAACCCCUGAUGGAGGGGCAACAGGUCCAUUCUUUAGCACAAGAAGGAAUGUGUCUCACAUGGUAUUAAAAUCCUCUCAUUGACACCUCAAGCUCCCUUUAUCAUUGAAUCACAGAAUCAGGAUUUUAUAUUUCCUUUUUCCCCAACAGGGUUUUGUUGGGUUUUUUUCAUGAUUCCUUGAACCUGUUGCAGGAUCCUGAUAAAAGAUAAGCUAAAUUUUGUCCUUGAUGCCUUUGGCGAUGGUUACUUUAAAAAGAGCCUGAAGCAAAGAUCCCAGGCCACAAAACCAUGGAAUAACCUGGGUUGGAAGGCACCCCCCAGGAUCAUGGAGUCAGAUGAAUCCCCCCUGUUUUUCCAGGUGUGCAACAGCAGGUUGGUUGAUUUUGAAGCUGUUGGAUCACCUGGGACUACAAAGACUUUCUGUGUGUCCUUUUGCCCCCACCCUUGAGCUCUCUGCUCUCUGAUAAAAGGUUGAACUCAAACUGCAGUGAAGAGACAACAGGAAACCUCCCUCCUCUUCCAAGCUGGUUUCAUCCAGUUUACAGGCACUCAAAAUCAAUAUGUUUUCUACUCCUCAAUUAAACUUGGGUGUUAUUGACCUUUUAAUUCAAAAGAAAAGGAAAGAGAUGGUUGUCUCUCUGUAUUAUCUGGCAUCCAGGACCCCUAUUCCAUUCUCCCAGAAAAGCAGACUCGGAAUGGAUCUGGUUCUUAAACUCAUCAAGCAUGUGUACAAACAGGGAGUUACAGCAAUGCUGCCAUCAAAAAGUCAUUUCUUUUGGCAGAAACAUGGUCCCAUUAAUUUCCCCUAUUAAUCUGAUUGAGAUUAAUGAGAUAAUGUGUUGUUUUACCAUGGCCCAAUCCAUCGUUGUCUGAUUUCUCCCACCUUCUUGCUUUUUCCUCACCCCAUUUAUUUAAUGUUUGAUCCAACAAAACAUGUCCCCCCGUGUCCCACCCCAGGCUUCUGUUCCAAGCUAAGCCUAAAGCGAGUUUUAAGGCUGAACAAGGUCAAAAUCAGGACAGUCCUUAAGGGCACCGGCAAAGCCCGUGUUUACACGCUCAAUAAAACAACCUACAAUGAUUUUCCUUUCCAUCAAAGCCACAGUUUCCAGCUCUGGGUUGUCCUGGGUUUUCUUCAGGAUAAUUAUCCCAUCUCCAAAGGCUCUGGCAGCCGGAGGAGCUCCGGCCCUCCCAAAUUACACACUUAAUAAGGGAAGCGGAGGCAACGUCAGAGGGAAACCAAGGCCAAGGGCAAAUCCAAACCCCUUGGAUCCACCAACUGCAUCACCGAGCUGGCCAGAAACCUUCCCCAUCCUGCCAGAGAGGGAUGAGGCCAUGGAAUGAGCUUCCCACGGACGGAUGAUGUGGGAGUGGAGCUGUUUGUGCCUUCCCCAAAGCACGUCGGGGCCGUCACAGCAGGUCGAGGGGAAUUCGGGGAGCGCCGGGAUUUUCAACAUCCAGGAAUUCACCGCUGUGGGGGUGGAGAAAGCAAUUUUUUGGGACACAAGUCCAAGCUGUGCCAAUGAAGGACUCGAAGCUGAUUCUUCCACAUCCCAUGGGAUUGUCUUGACCCCGCUUUCUAAAUGAGAAGGGACCAUGACUCAUUCUCUCUCUUUGGCCACUUCAUCCUCUGCUGCAGAGGAGUUUCCCACUGAAAAUUUCAUGGAAACCGGAACGUUUCUGGGGGAAAUAAAAAAAUCUCCCUUUUUUUGACAUUUAAGUGAAAUAAGACAAGAAAUUUGAUCAGCAGUUCCUGUCCAGAUGCCACGUACAAGCACGAAGACAAGGCCAAAAUCAGCAUUAAAUCCCACCAGGUUUUGAGAGGAUUCAAGUUUGUUCACUCAGUAAACGGAAAGGAAAAAACAUUUUAUUCCUAAAAUACAGUGUGGGGGUUUUUUCCCCAACUUUUUCUGCCCACAAGUCCUGAAUAUUAAUAGUCAAAGAUCUCUAAAAGCACUUCUUGGCUGCUCAGAACCACCUGCCCAGGGUUUGUCUGCAGGGUUCACCUGUGGAGCUUCAAGGCAGGGAGAGCAAAAGCUCAAAUAUUGUGACAAGUGAGGGACAAAGAUUGAGGUCACCUUGUUUGGCAAACUGACCUUCACCUUCUGGCAUCCUUUUGGAUCCCCAGGCACGAGCCAUUUGCUCCUGUUCCAUAAUUUGGGAGUUGUGAGGCUGCUCUAGUACAGAUGUUGCUCCCAAAGUGUUCCCAAAGCUCCUGGAAUUAUAACGUGUGUUUUGAAUAAAGGACAAGCACCAUGUUCUUCCUUUCUGCUGGCCAUGGGGAGAGUGACAGUGCUCAAGUUCUUCCAUCAGAAGCCACCUCAGACAUAUCCAAGCCAUGAGCUGGAGAGGAAGAGACCAAGUCAUUCCUGCUGCCCAUUUUAUUUGGAGUGUUGGUAGCAUUUGGAGGAGGCAGAGGCUGUGGGGAUGGGAGUGAUGCUUGGAUUCACAGCACCCAGAAUGACCAGCUCUUGCCUGCCAGGUAGCACCCCAUGACAAGUGAAGACCACAAAUAAAACAGAAAGAAAUAAUCAGGGUAGAGGGAAGGAAAAAAAAAAACAUUUUAUAUCAGAACCACAGAAACAUUAAGAUUGGAAUAAACCUUUAAGAUUAUCAGGUCCAACCACCAACCCAACACAACCACUGUGUGUUCACCACUAAACCAUCUCCUCAGGUGCCACAUCCACACGUUUCUGAACACU